ensembl:misc_RNA 7SK 7SK RNA
GGAUGUGAGGGCGAUCUGGCUGCGACAUCUGUCACCCCAUUGAUCGCCAGGGUUGAUUCGGCUGAUGUGGCUGGCUAGGCGGGUGACCCCUUCCUCCCUCACCGCUCCAUGUGCGUCCCUCCCGAAGCUGCGCGCUCGGUCGAAGACGACGACCAUCCCUGAUAGAGGAGGACCGGUCUUCGGUCAAGGGUAUACGAGUAGCUGCGCUCCCCUGCUAGAACCUCCAAACAAGCUCUCAAGAGAAAAGUGGGAUAUUUGAAACCUGGAGAGACACAAAGGAGACCCACAGGGGAGAAGGCCACAUGAAGGGAAU